UGAAUUGGAUUCGAGUUCGUCUUCUACUUCUCCAAGAUGAUUGGAUUUUUCAAGUGGAUUGCUGCUC
ensembl:ncRNA M01G4.6 ncRNA